GCCUGCCUAGCUCAAUCGGAUAGAGCAUUCGACUCUUACGUUUCCGUAAUUGUCAUGGCACGUGAAUCGAAAGGCUGCGAGUUCGACCCUCGCGGUGGGCU